UACAGAGGGGGCAAGCGUUGUUCGGAAUUACUGGGCGUAAAGGGCGCGUAGGCGGCCUUCUAAGUCGAACGUGAAAUCCCCGGGCUCAACCCGGGAACUGCGUCCGAUACUGGAAGGCUUGAAUCCGGGAGAGGGAUGUGGAAUUCCAGGUGUAGCGGUGAAAUGCGUAGAUAUCUGGAGGAACACCGGUGGCGAAGGCAGCCUUCUGGGCCAACACUGACGCUCAUGCACGAAAGCGUGGGGAGCAAACAGG
rnacentral:rRNA from 1 species